UACGGGGGGGGCAAGCGUUGUUCGGAAUUACUGGGCGUAAAGGGCUCGUAGGCGGCCAGCUAAGUCAGACGUGAAAUCCCUCGGCUUAACCGGGGAACUGCGUCUGAUACUGGAUGGCUUGAAUCCGGGAGAGGGAUGCGGAAUUCCAGGUGUAGCGGUGAAAUGCGUAGAUAUCCGGAGGAACACCGGUGGCGAAGGCGGCUUCCUGGACCGACACUGACGCUGAGGCGCGAAAGCUAGGGGAGCAAACGGG
rnacentral:rRNA from 1 species